rnacentral:rRNA from 1 species
AGAUUGAACGCUGGCGGCAGGCCUAACACAUGCAAGUCGAGCGGUAGAGAGGUGCUUGCACCUCUUGAGAGCGGCGGACGGGUGAGUAAUGCCUAGGAAUCUGCCUAGUGGUGGGGGAUAACGUUCGGAAACGGACGCUAAUACCGCAUACGUCCUACGGGAGAAAGCGGGGGACCUUCGGGCCUCGCGCCAUUAGAUGAGCCUAGGUCGGAUUAGCUAGUUGGUGAGGUAAUGGCUCACCAAGGCGACGAUCCGUAACUGGUCUGAGAGGAUGAUCAGUCACACUGGAACUGAGACACGGUCCAGACUCCUACGGGAGGCAGCAGUGGGGAAUA